AGUCAAGUAAUUAAGUGCAUGUGGUGGAUGCCUUGGCAGUCAGAGGCGAUGAAAGACGUAAUAGCCUGCGAUAAGCUUCGGGGAGGCGGCAAAUAUCCUAUGAUCCGGAGAUUUCUGAAUGGGGAAACCCACCUACUAUAAGGUAGGUAUCAUAAACUGAAUACAUAGGUUUAUGAGGCGAACGAGGGGAAGUGAAACAUCUCAGUACCCUUAGGAAAAGAAAUCAAUUGAGAUUCCCUCAGUAGCGGCGAGCGAACGGGGAAGAGCCCAUUAAGUAAUGUGUGUUUUAGCGGAAUGCUCUGGGAAGUGCGACCGUAGAGGGUGAUAGUCCCGUACACGAAAGGGCACACAUUAUGAUGACGAGUAGGGCGAGGCACGUGAAACCUUGUCUGAAUAUGGGGGGACCAUCCUCCAAGGCUAAAUACUCCUGACUGACCGAUAGUGAACCAGUACCGUGAGGGAAAGGCGAAAAGAACCCCUGUGAGGGGAGUGAAAUAGAUCCUGAAACCGCAUGCAUACAAGCAGUGGGAGCCGACUUGUUCGGUGACUGCGUACCUUUUGUAUAAUGGGUCAGCGACUUAUAUUCAGUAGCAAGGUUAACCGCAUAGGGGAGCCGUAGAGAAAUCGAGUCUUAAUAGGGCGUAUAGUUGCUGGGUAUAGACCCGAAACCGGGUGAUCUAUCCAUGAGCAGGUUGAAGGUUGGGUAACACUAACUGGAGGACCGAACCCACUGUCGUUGAAAAGCCAGGGGAUGACUUGUGGAUAGGGGUGAAAGGCUAAUCAAACUCGGUGAUAGCUGGUUCUCCCCGAAAGCUAUUUAGGUAGCGCCUCGGACGAAUACCAUAGGGGGUAGAGCACUGUUUCGGCUAGGGGGUCAUCCCGACUUACCAAACCGAUGCAAACUCCGAAUACCUAUGAGUACUAUCCGGGAGACAGACUGCGGGUGCUAACGUCCGUAGUCAAGAGGAAAACAAUCCAGACCGCCAGCUAAGGCCCCAAAAUCAUAGUUAAGUGGGAAACGAUGUGGGAAGGCAUAGACAGCUAGGAGGUUGGCUUAGAAGCAGCCACCCUUUAAAGAAAGCGUAAUAGCUCACUAGUCGAGUCGGCCUGCGCGGAAGAUGUAACGGGGCUAAAACUAUGUGCCGAAGCUGCGGAUUUGACUUUAAGUCAAGUGGUAGGGGAGCGUUCUGUAAGCCGAUGAAGGUGUAUUGAGAAGUAUGCUGGAGGUAUCAGAAGUGCGAAUGCUGACGUGAGUAACGACAAAACGGGUGAAAAACCCGUUCGCUGAAAGACCAAGGGUUCCAGUCCAACGUUAAUCGGGGCUGGGUGAGUCGACCCCUAAGGCGAGGCCGAAAGGCGUAGUCGAUGGGAAAUUGGUUAAUAUUCCAAUACUUCUGUUUAAUGCGAUGAGAGGACGGAGAAGGUUAAGUCAGCCUGGCGUUGGUUGUCCAGGUGGAAGGAAGUAGGCAUGCAUCUUAGGCAAAUCCGGGGUGCUCUAUGCUGAGAUCUGAUAGCAAGCUAGUUUACUAGCGAAGUGGCUGAUACCAAGCUUCCAGGAAAAGUCUCUAAGCUUCAGUUAAACAGGAAUCGUACCCUAAACCGACACAGGUGGUCAGGUCGAGUAGACCAAAGCGCUUGAGAGAACUCUGCUGAAGGAACUAGGCAAAAUGGUACCGUAACUUCGGGAGAAGGUACGCUGUUGUUGGUGAUAGGACUUGCUCCUUGAGCUGAUGACAGCCACAGAAACCAGGCCGCUGCAACUGUUUAUUAAAAACAUAGCACUCUGCAAACACGAAAGUGGACGUAUAGGGUGUGAUGCCUGCCCGGUGCUGGAAGGUUAAUUGAUG
rnacentral:ncRNA from 1 species